rnacentral:misc_RNA from 1 species
AAGUCGUAACAAGGUAACCGUAGGUGAACCUGCGGUUGGAUCAUUACUUAGUUCUUUUACGAAAGUGACUACUGAGCUCUGCCAUCUUAGUAUGGUAUCUUGACAUUAUGUGAACCGUAACCGUCUCUGGUGGGUGGGCAGCACUCUUUUGAGUACUGCUUGUCAGCAUGAGUGUCACCGACACUUGUAGCCGUGGACAACCCACCAACCCUCGGCAUUUGCCGAUUAUUUUUUUCACCUUUAUUGUAUUUUCAUGACUGACAUCUACCUGUAUUUAAUACAAAAACAACUUUUGGCAACGGAUCUCUUGGCUCUC